rnacentral:lncRNA from 1 species
UUUUUUUUUUUUUUUUUUGGUAAGUAAGAAUUUGUUAAUACCAAAGAACAAACAAGAUAGGCAUAACCACAAAAGAAAUAAAGAAACUUUAUUAAUAAAGUUGAAAAUUUAAUUAUUGUCUAAAACAAAUGAAGAAAGAUGGCAUAACCACAAAACUGAAAAAACAAACAAAAAUGUGACACUCUUACUGUGCCUUAGCUUUUCAGAAAAUGACCAUUAUAGCGAAAUUUUCUACAGAUAAAUGUAUUACACCGCCACAUGAAAGCGAAAACAGCCAAGGCUUUCAAUUGCCAAAAGAAGAGAUGAAAGAAUAUCCAAAGGGCUCUUCUUCCUCGGGUGCAUAUGAUAUUAUACUCUGCCUUUUUCCCUCCCCAUCUAAUGCUUGAGUUUGGACUCUCUUUAGUUCCUCUAAACGCCAAAAAACUAGAAGAGUGUUAUUAUAGUGAGUAGUUAAAGUAGAAUUUCCCCCUUUUUUUGAUUGUGUUUUUAGGUGGUUUAGUCUAGUCAAAUAACGAUGUGUAUGUUUCAAGGUUAGUUAACAAUGCUUGCAGCACUGAAGCUCAGAUUCUGGAAACUUGCAUAUUUUCCACCUCCAUGUCUUAGUUUAUAUAUUUAAGGACUCCAUGUCCUCCAAAUUUCAAUCUGAAAAUUGGGUGCCGUACCAUUUUUCUUUUUCUUGUUUUGUGUAGCUUUUCUGGUAGCACAUCCAUAGGAGAUAAAAAAUCUUGUUGAUUUUCUGAUCAAAUAUUGCAUGGGUUGCUCCUACACCCAUUCUUUAGCCACGUAUUCCAUCUUUUAGAUGACAAAGCAAGAAGAACUUUCAAUAAUGUCUUUCUGUAUGGUUAGAGGCUUAAGAUUUAAUCUCUUGGAGCUUCCAAUGUGCUCAGUUUUCACAAACACAAAAUCAAGGAAGCUCAAGUCAUGCAAAACUAAGUAGAGCAUUCUGCUCCCUUGAAGGAAAAGAAAAACCAAAUGUAACUUAUUUAUGCCUUGGCCUCAUUAGGAACUCACUUUUGGCCUUUAAAAGCAAAAGGGAUGCUCAAUUACCACCCUGUUAGGUUGCAAAAUUUUGAGGUUUAAGGUUUUAUAAAUCAUAACUCAUUAUACUUUGGUAAAUCAUGAUAUGCAGGAGCAUAUUCUUUAGGGCAAGUUGAUCAGGUAUGCUUUAAAAAGCGCUUUUCUACUGCAUAUGGUCAAAUGGUAGUUUCUUAAGAAGAGGAGGAAAUUUUAGGGGUUGUCCAUCUGGCGAGUGUCAAGCUCAUCAGGGUAAAUGUGAGGCGACAUCUGCCUUGGACAAGGACAGUAAUUCCGUCUCAAUAUUUUGACAAGAAGUUGCAACAAAGAAUGGAAUCAAUGGAUUGAAGAAUUCGAGAUCUGCCUCCGACAAGGACUGUACUUUAGCCUGUUAGUAUUUUGACAAGAAGUUGCAACAUGGAAUCAACGGGUUAUGGGGGUGUCUCGAAACAAUGGAAAUUCUUUCACUCUGCCGUUUGGAGGUCAUAACCUUCCAAAGUGCGACAAACAUAUACUAGUAGCAUAACUCUCCGAGUAAAAUGCAUUUUGUUCCUAUCACUUUUAACCAAAUUUAUAGGAAUUUACGCAGCUAGGACGAACACAUUCCAUUCGUUCAUUAAAGUUCCAUAUAUGAGUUACGAGGAUUAACACACACAGACACAGCGCCCACCCACUGCCGCAUACAGAAUACUGGGCCCGAGAAUAGAAUGAUACAAGUAGCACAUCUACCCAAAGGCGGAGGAGUAAAAAUGUCAAUGAAACUGAUCAAAAGAUGAUGAUUAAAAAUCACUAUCUAUAGAACAGAAUAUAUUCAACAAUCAAAUGUCUGUCUCCCCGUCUUUUCAACCCAGCAAUUGGGACGCAAAUUUAACACAAGGGGGGCAACAGGAGAAGCAGACAAAUCCAAUUUCAGCAACAAACAUCACUGGAGAAACUCGCAAGCAACCAUUAAGGGCAGCUUUUAUGUAUGUCACAUAAUCACAGCCCACAGCCUCACACCAUCAUGACCAAAGAAGAAAAUGCACAAUCCCAAAAAAGAAUAAAAAGAUCACUAGUCAUUAACACAAAGGGAACAAUAGGAGAAGAAGACAAUCCAUUUCAGCAACAGCCAUCACUCAAAGGAGGAGAAACUUGCGAAUAACUAUUAAGGGCUGUAAGAGCCUUCCUCCACUGCCAGGUUCAGGGUCCAAUUCCUGUGCUUGAUAGUUGGGGUGGCAAGGGGUGGAGGGGGGGGGGGAAUUAAAAGCUGCUUUCAUGUUCACAGAAAACAGCCCAAAAACCAUCAUGACAAUAAGGAAAACACAGAAUUCCUAAAAGGAAAGAGUUUCAGAAGUCAUCAACAUUGACAAUAUGCGUUCCAUUAAAACACCAGCACCACAUAAGAUCAAGUCAUAGCAGAAAGAUUAUUAUGGGGCAAUCUUCAUGCAAAGCCAUCUUCAUGCAAAGCCCAUUAAACAAACAUUCUAAAUCCAAGGUCACCAUAGACCCAGAAAUAAAGAUCCAAGUGACAAGUUAAACAACAAAUUUCCAGCAAAAAUGUUUUCAUCGAAGACUUGGUUGGUACUGCAACUUCAAGGU